rnacentral:rRNA from 1 species
UUAAGCGACUAAGCGUACACGGUGGAUGCCCUGGCAGUCAGAGGCGAUGAAGGACGUGCUAAUCUGCGAUAAGCGUCGGUAAGGUGAUAUGAACCGUUAUAACCGGCGAUUUCCGAAUGGGGAAACCCAGUGUGUUUCGACACACUAUCAUUAACUGAAUCCAUAGGUUAAUGAGGCGAACCGGGGGAACUGAAACAUCUAAGUACCCCGAGGAAAAGAAAUCAACCGAGAUUCCCCCAGUAGCGGCGAGCGAACGGGGAGGAGCCCAGAGCCUGAAUCAGUGUGUGUGUUAGUGGAAGCGUCUGGAAAGGCGCGCGAUACAGGGUGACAGCCCCGUACACAAAAAUGCACAUGCUGUGAGCUCGAUGAGUAGGGCGGGACACGUGGUAUCCUGUCUGAAUAUGGGGGGACCAUCCUCCAAGGCUAAAUACUCCUGACUGACCGAUAGUGAACCAGUACCGUGAGGGAAAGGCGAAAAGAACCCCGGCGAGGGGAGUGAAAAAGAACCUGAAACCGUGUACGUACAAGCAGUGGGAGCACGCUUAGGCGUGUGACUGCGUACCUUUUGUAUAAUGGGUCAGCGACUUAUAUUCUGUAGCAAGGUUAACCGAAUAGGGGAGCCGAAGGGAAACCGAGUCUUAACUGGGCGUUAAGUUGCAGGGUAUAGACCCGAAACCCGGUGAUCUAGCCAUGGGCAGGUUGAAGGUUGGGUAACACUAACUGGAGGACCGAACCGACUAAUGUUGAAAAAUUAGCGGAUGACUUGUGGCUGGGGGUGAAAGGCCAAUCAAACCGGGAGAUAGCUGGUUCUCCCCGAAAGCUAUUUAGGUAGCGCCUCGUGAAUUCAUCUCCGGGGGUAGAGCACUGUUUCGGCAAGGGGGUCAUCCCGACUUACCAACCCGAUGCAAACUGCGAAUACCGGAGAAUGUUAUCACGGGAGACACACGGCGGGUGCUAACGUCCGUCGUGAAGAGGGAAACAACCCAGACCGCCAGCUAAGGUCCCAAAGUCAUGGUUAAGUGGGAAACGAUGUGGGAAGGCCCAGACAGCCAGGAUGUUGGCUUAGAAGCAGCCAUCAUUUAAAGAAAGCGUAAUAGCUCACUGGUCGAGUCGGCCUGCGCGGAAGAUGUAACGGGGCUAAACCAUGCACCGAAGCUGCGGCAGCGACGCUGAUGCGUUGUUGGGUAGGGGAGCGUUCUGUAAGCCUGCGAAGGUGUGCUGUGAGGCAUGCUGGAGGUAUCAGAAGUGCGAAUGCUGACAUAAGUAACGAUAAAGCGGGUGAAAAGCCCGCUCGCCGGAAGACCAAGGGUUCCUGUCCAACGUUAAUCGGGGCAGGGUGAGUCGACCCCUAAGGCGAGGCCGAAAGGCGUAGUCGAUGGGAAACAGGUUAAUAUUCCUGUACUUGGUGUUACUGCGAAGGGGGGACGGAGAAGGCUAUGUUGGCCGGGCGACGGUUGUCCCGGUUUAAGCGUGUAGGCUGGUUUUCCAGGCAAAUCCGGAAAAUCAAGGCUGAGGCGUGAUGACGAGGCACUACGGUGCUGAAGCAACAAAUGCCCUGCUUCCAGGAAAAGCCUCUAAGCAUCAGGUAACAUCAAAUCGUACCCCAAACCGACACAGGUGGUCAGGUAGAGAAUACCAAGGCGCUUGAGAGAACUCGGGUGAAGGAACUAGGCAAAAUGGUGCCGUAACUUCGGGAGAAGGCACGCUGAUAUGUAGGUGAAGUCCCUCGCGGAUGGAGCUGAAAUCAGUCGAAGAUACCAGCUGGCUGCAACUGUUUAUUAAAAACACAGCACUGUGCAAACACGAAAGUGGACGUAUACGGUGUGACGCCUGCCCGGUGCCGGAAGGUUAAUUGAUGGGGUUAGCCGCAAGGCGAAGCUCUUGAUCGAAGCCCCGGUAAACGGCGGCCGUAACUAUAACGGUCCUAAGGUAGCGAAAUUCCUUGUCGGGUAAGUUCCGACCUGCACGAAUGGCGUAAUGAUGGCCAGGCUGUCUCCACCCGAGACUCAGUGAAAUUGAACUCGCUGUGAAGAUGCAGUGUACCCGCGGCAAGACGGAAAGACCCCGUGAACCUUUACUAUAGCUUGACACUGAACAUUGAGCCUUGAUGUGUAGGAUAGGUGGGAGGCUUUGAAGUGUGGACGCCAGUCUGCAUGGAGCCGACCUUGAAAUACCACCCUUUAAUGUUUGAUGUUCUAACGUUGACCCGUAAUCCGGGUUGCGGACAGUGUCUGGUGGGUAGUUUGACUGGGGCGGUCUCCUCCUAAAGAGUAACGGAGGAGCACGAAGGUUGGCUAAUCCUGGUCGGACAUCAGGAGGUUAGUGCAAUGGCAUAAGCCAGCUUGACUGCGAGCGUGACGGCGCGAGCAGGUGCGAAAGCAGGUCAUAGUGAUCCGGUGGUUCUGAAUGGAAGGGCCAUCGCUCAACGGAUAAAAGGUACUCCGGGGAUAACAGGCUGAUACCGCCCAAGAGUUCAUAUCGACGGCGGUGUUUGGCACCUCGAUGUCGGCUCAUCACAUCCUGGGGCUGAAGUAGGUCCCAAGGGU